UGGAGUCAGGCUGAUUUUCAAGGUCGAGGCUAACCAAGAACUUCGUGGCCUUGUUUGCAAUAGCGCAAACGUUCUUCCCACGAAGGUUAUCGAGGAUGCCUUUCGAAACGAGUAUGUUUUGCAGGAAAAGUUGUGAACAUUCAAAGGCUUAACACGGUUCUCGACACUUUGAAUGGAUGGUACCGAGAUAGAGGCUACUUUGCACAGGUGACAGACCUGGAGAUAAUGCCAGACGGUAUUCUCAAAGUACAAUUUGCUGAGGCAGUAGGUAACAACAUCAAUAUACGAUUUUUGGACAGGAAAACGUAAGCUUUUCUAGUCCACGGGAUGUGCAAAGUCAAGGCGCAUGACAAGGUAUAUGCGAAUAAUGUAGCGGACAGGCUCGCCAAGACAGGGCGCCAACUCGAGGGGCGGAAGAUCCAGUGGUUCCACGUAGAAAGGUCUGGUGCGAUUGUGAAAUUGUGAAAUAUAGUGAGAUUAUAUUUUAAUGUAGUGUUGAUACAUUAAUA